rnacentral:rRNA from 1 species
GGCUCAGGACGAACGCUGGCGGCAUGCCUAAUACAUGCAAGUCGAGCGGASUUGAURRGAAGCUUGCUUCYUUGAURSUUAGCGGCGGACGGGUGAGUAACACGUAGGCAACCUGCCCUCAAGUUUGGGACAACUACCGGAAACGGUAGCUAAUACCGAAUARUUGUUUUCUUCGCCUGAAGGAAACUGGAAAGACGGAGCAAUCUGUCACUUGGGGAUGGGCCUGCGGCGCAUUAGCUAGUUGGUGGGGUAACGGCUCACCAAGGCGACGAUGCGUAGCCGACCUGAGAGGGUGAUCGGCCACACUGGGACUGAGACACGGCCCAGACUCCUACGGGAGGCAGCAGUAGGGAAUCUUCCGCAAUGGGCGAAAGCCUGACGGAGCAAUGCCGCGUGAGUGAUGAAGGUUUUCGGAUCGUAAAGCUCUGUUGCCAGGGAAGAACGCUUGGGAGAGUAACUGC